CUGCUUUGAAUACUAUCAAUAUACCAUGGACAGAAACGACGUUGAAGCAGUUUGACUCGACUUCCCAAUGUUUGGAGAAAUACUACAGUCCACAAGAAAAGGUGAUGACACCAGCACACAGGGUAGAGGAAAACUCUGCGCUCGUGAUUGCGUACGAGGGCUAUUCAAAGUCGAUUAUAUACCAAGCACUACCUGCACAGGGACUACGGCAUUGGUAAUCUUGACAAUGUGACCUCUGAACAACUAUUCUUCCUUUAUUACGCUCUUAAUCACUGUACAAGCCGAAAUAGUCCCAAUGACACAAAACGGGUUAUCAUGCAUGACAGGGUGAACGUCCCUCUGAAGAAUUCAGUAUGAAUUCGCCAGUGCAUUUAGCUGCAAGAAGGGUGCACCGAUGAAUCCAUCGAACAAGUGCAGUUUUUGGGACUGACUGCGUGCGACGGACUUAUUUAUAAUAUGUUCCAGCGGAUUUAUGUUACCGCAGCAAUCGUAGACCUAAGUGAUUCCACUACGUUACGCAUAGCUUACAAUUUAUAUUCGUUUUUUGGAGUGAAAUGACGAGCAUAGGAAAAAGCAUUAGUGGUUCUGCCACAUGAUUAUGUGCUCUAUGUCCUAUCGACUAACAGCAAGAAAAAAUAUUCACGUUCACCUUUUACGCCAGAAUUCUUCAGCUGAAAAAACUGUGGCCAUCUUUUUGCAAACCUGUCUAUAUCCCAUUACUUCAAAGCGGCGGCUGAAACAGGAAAGUACAAGUUUAGUGCAUUUAGACAAAAUAAAAUACGAGCUAUUGCUUUCGAGCCAUUUGUACCACGAUUAAGCACACAUUCAGAAGAAUGAACACAGGAUCUG